rnacentral:rRNA from 1 species
CCUACGGGUGGCAGCAGUCGAGAAUCAUUCACAAUGGGGGAAACCCUGAUGGUGCGACGCCGCGUGGGGGAAUGAAGGUCUUCGGAUUGUAAACCCCUGUCAUGUGGGAGCAAAUUAAAAAGAUAGUACCACAAGAGGAAGAGACGGCUAACUCUGUGCCAGCAGCCGCGGUAAUACAGAGGUCGCACGCGUGUUUGGGAAUCACUGGGCGGAAAGCGUGCGUAGGCUGUUUCGUAAGUCGUGUGUGAAAGGCGCGGGCUCAACCCGCGGACGGCACAUGAUACUGCGAGACUAGAGUAAUGGAGGGGGAACCGGAAUUCUCGGUGUAGCAGUGAAAUGCGUAGAUAUCGAGAGGAACACUCGUGGCGAAGGCGGGUUCCUGGACAUUAACUGACGCUGAGGCACGAAGGCCAGGGGAGCGAAAGGGAUUAGAUACCCGGGUAGUC